UGAGACACCUCACGCGCACACAAUGAUAAAGGCGGUAGCGAUAUGUCGUCUGUUGCGGAGCAGGUGGAGGCUGCGUGGCCCCACAGGCAUUGCAAACCCUGACAAGGCGAUUGCAUGGGGAUCAAUCAGCGCACGCGGUAGCGGCAGCCAGUAUGACCAGGGUAUCGCUCCCCACGUGGAAGGGCAGGCUCGCUCAAUCAAUCGAGCCGCACCUAGAGGGCUUAUCCGGGGCUUUGCACACGAGGAGCAAGUCCCACCUCUGCCCAGCAGCUCGAAAAAAUGACCGGGUUUCCCACCACAACGAAUGGGAAGAAAAAGUAUGCGCUUACAAGACACAUCACACUCACCGCUGAACGGGCAGAAGGGGUGCGAGAAAAAAAAAGCGGAGAGUGCGUGGCAGUCGGUGUUACACGCACGAGAGUCGUUUCGCUAGGCGACCUCUAAGGCGCAAGCGCGCUCAUGUGUGAGUGCGCCUUUGCUUCUCUCUGGGACUCGGUGUCUGCCGGAUCCCAGAUGGUUCGGCGCGCUUUAUUGUCUGCGCUUGGGGAGGUACGCAUGCUUGCGUGACCCGGUGAGACCCUCGGUCGAAGUUGCGCGUCGUGUACCUAGACGCGCCGGCGACCAACAGCCUGCCUGUGAAGCAUGCUUUUCUUUUUCUGGCUGGGGCUCAGCGCGCGGGCUAUACAGCGUUGCAACGCCAUUGCAAGUGGUGCGUUGCGCCGCUGCCAAACAGCUCGUCUCGAUAUCUCGGAUACCAUGGCAUCACCGCCGCCCCUCUUUCGCACUUCUCUGGCUCAUCUCUCAUCUAUCCCGCGAUAUUUCGUUUCUUCUCACCAACACCGCCGUGACGCUCACGCAG
rnacentral:misc_RNA from 1 species